GGUUUUGUUGGUGGGUGUUCCUUGAGCGCAUGAAGCAGCCUAUUUGAGGGAGCUUUCAAUUUGGAGCGAAAUUUCUGGAAACCCUCCUCUGUCGUCUCAAUCACUCCAAAGCUCGAGGGUCUCUGAAACAUUGAGAGAGAGAGAAAAAAAAGCACAAAAUCAACAGGGAGAAAAAGAAACAAAGGGCCAGCUGCAGCUGACAGGCAUCCAGUGCAGAGAUGACGGCUGAAGCAGACCCAGCUUAGGGAAUGUGAAUCCUGGAGGCUUUUGCCUCUGGGCCCCACUGUGGUUCCUGCCUCGAGUUCCUGCCUCGCUUCUCCUGAGGAAGGACUAAAAGCCUUCAGCUCUGAGAUGCCUAGGACCUCAAGCAGCAGAAGAUUAGAAAUGUCUGAACCCCUGCCAGGCAUGGUGGCGCACGCCUUUAAUCCCAGCACUCGGGAACCAGAGGCAGGCGGAUUUCUGAGUUCGAAGCCAGCCUGGUCUACAGAGUGAGUUCCAGGACAGC
ensembl:antisense Uchl1os ubiquitin carboxy-terminal hydrolase L1, opposite strand